UGGGCUCGAAGCGCAGUGGACCGGGGUAGAAAUAUCCCUUUUCGCAAGAACUGCUGCGGAGGUGCUGCAUGGCUGUCGUCAGCUCGUGUCGUGAGAUGUUGGGUUAAGUCCCGCAACGAGCGCAACCCUUAUCCCUAGUUGCCAUCAGGUCAAGCUGGGCACUCUAGUGAAACCGCCCCGGAUAACGGGGAGGAAGGUGGGGAUGACGUAGUCUACG
rnacentral:misc_RNA from 1 species